GCUGCUCCAUUUCCCAUCCAGCCCCUGCUAAUGACCUGGGAAGAGCCACGCAAGAUAGCCCAAGUGCUUGCACCCCUACUGGGACCUACCUGGGACACCCGCAUAAGGUUCCUGGUUCCAGACUUUGGCAUGGCCCAGUCCUGGCUGCUUCAGUCAUCUGAAACAGAUGUAUCAUCUCUUCCACUCUUUGGCUUGGGUGUGAAUAAAAGGAUGAAACAAAAGAGUAGGGCGACCUGUUAAUGACAACAAGCCCAAAGCAUGACUGGAGAACUAUGUGGCCUAAAAAAGUAGCAAGCUGAAUUUAUUUGAAGAAAUUGUUUAAAGCCAUCUCCAAGCUUUCAGUUUGUUAAUAGUGAAGACAUAACCUCAAACUUCAUCAACUCCAGCAUUCCAUUGCUGCUUUGGAUGAAUUAUAAUGCCUGGAUUACAGAGAGGAUGGCGAGUGCUGCCAAGGGAAGGCACAGGCCCAGGCGCAGGGUCUGGAGGCCAACACAGAGACUCUGACAAGAUACUUUAUCCAUCUGAGCAAGUGCGGGCAUUCAUCGUGACAGACUAAUUGCUCGCUUCGAGUUAGAUAUUGUUCCAGCUAUCUAUGCACCCAAUGUGGCUAUC